GCCAUCGUAGUGUAACGGUAACACACUCGACUCGUAUUCGAUAGGUCCAGCUUCGAGACCUGGCGAGGGCA
rnacentral:tRNA from 1 species